UCCACCAGGUGGCGGUGAGGCGCCAUCACGCGAGUUGACGAGCCGCCAUGACGGAACUAAAGGAAGGAGACGCUCCGCCUGCGGUCAGUCCGAGCUGAGGAGCCGCUGCAGCUGCGACCAUCGCUCCUCUGAGACAAACGGUUUUAUAUGUUCCAGCUUGUUCAGCGUUGGACUGCUGAGGAUGUCGGCUUCACCUCUGGACUGUCCCUGCAGUUUGCACACGGGUCACACCAUGGACCUCCAGGGACACCGUACAGAAGCUGCUCGCGAUGGAUGAUGCGACUUAUUCCUCAGGAGGUGGAAAUUCAUCAGCUCCAUGAACCUGGGGACAGGGUUCCAGGCUGGAUGUGCCUUCAUCUUCUCCGUCCAGUCACCAGUGACGGUGGUUAUUGACUGGGUGAACGUCUCGGUGGAUGAUUCUGUUGAUUCAGCACCUGCAGCAAGAUGAUCGAUGCCUGCACAGCUGGGUGAACGUCUCGGUGGAUGAUUCUGUUAAUUCAGCACCUGCACCAAGAUGGUGGUGACUGACGCCUGCACAGCUGGGUUCCAGGCUGGCUGUGCCUUCAUCUUCUCCGUCCAGUCACCAGUGAUGGUGGUCAUUGACUGGUACGUAAUUAUUAAACUAUAUGUCUGAGUGCAGACUGACGGCCUGCAGUUCGCUGUGAUGAUGCUUUUUCCUGCCAUUCGUAGUUUCCACCAGAGGUCUGACAGACCAAAGACGGUCCAAACCUUCCUUGGAUGUCUGAGCGAAUUUAGCUCUAGUUUUUAAUCAUUGCCUCCAAAGGUUUUCUGUUUGCUAACAUGUGUUUAUGUCCCACAGGUCGAACAUAAACCAGGAGCUGGACUUCACUGGUUUCUCUUCGCUGGAGAUUUUUCCUCUUUCCUUGUUUUUGUUGUUGUUUACAAAGAAAUAAAGAUCCAGCUGUUGCAA